GAGAGAGAGAGGAGGAAUGAUGAGAUAAAGUCGAUAAAUGAAAUUACAAUUAAUUAUUACAAUGUCCAAAUAUUUAGUAAUUUAUCUUCAAAAUGGAUGUACAAACUGAAGUAUGUAACAGUUUCCGAAACCAUUGGAACUCAGAUCAAAAUCAGAACCAGUUUAAAUAAACUAAAGCCGAAUUCAAUUCCAGUUCGUUCAUUAUUCAACCCUGCAUCGCAUAUUCAGGCCAGAACCGGUGGCGAAGUAUGGAAGCUGUUCUCCACACGAGAAAUUGAAUUGAAGAAAAAAACAGAGGAUAACAACCUUGGGCAUCUUGAAUUUUUUUUUUUAAAACGUUUGCCCACUCAGACAGCAAUUGUGAUUUCUGUACAAAUGAAAAACAGCAGCUACAAUCAUACCCUUAUCUUCAAAAUUAUUCUACAUAUCCUACUCAUUAGAGGAUUAUAUUAGCUAACAAGAAUAGAAGAAAGGCCCUUGAUACAAUCUUCAACCCUGCGAAACACUUCCCCGAGAAAUGUUAUUAUGACUUCCCUCCCAUCCGCAUAACUGCCCACUGCCAGUUUCUUCAGUUACAAAAUUGUCCAACCUAGAAAUGGACAUGCCACACUGACAAAUCUACACAAAACCCAAAGAGAAUUAAAAUCCACCUUCAACUAUUUCAAAGAUCUACGCCAUCAGCAGGAAAGCAUUUAUUCAUGUUGCCCCAGAACUUGCAGCAACUCCUCCACUGCCAUCUCUUAACCCUUGGAGGCAUAAAUUCAGUGUUCUUUGCACACUAUCUGCAACGAUUCUCAAUCUUCCUUGGGUAACAUCUCCAGUGGAACAUCCAUUUAUUUCAACAGUUCGAAUCACUCUCUGUUUACAUUUUUCCCACUCAUCAACACGCAACCAGCAAGCUCUUCCUCCAUGGCUUCCUUCCAUGCUAAGGAAAGUCACAUUAUUGUUUUCCCCGAAUGAAUAUCUCAACCUCACCGAGACACAAUAGGGCAACCAAGCAGCACCACCAGCAGCAUUAACAUGAGGUAUAUGAGCAGGAUCAAGAACAACAGUAAGUGCAAAAUCAACAGAACUAUGGGGCCGAUCAUAGUGAAUAUUGCUUUUAGCUGCAGAUGAAUUCUCAGAUUUGUCAUUCUCAUUUAACCCAGCAUGAUUUUCAAGGCACAAUUCAAUACGAGGUUUUUGUCCAGGAGCUAUUUCUCCACCUUGCACCUGAGUCAAUCCUUUUUUCCAUGCAAUCAAUUUUAGAAAUUCUCUCAAUACUGAUAUUGGCAAGGUGAGAAGGGUAAUGAAUGAUGCAACACGAGAUGCAUCAUAGGGUUCUGACGCUACACGGCGACUGAAAUAGUCACAUAUCUCUCCUAUUUCAGAUUGAGUAAGUUCUUCUUGAGAAGUCACGGAGUUCUGUUGCUGUUGUUGCUGCUGUU
rnacentral:misc_RNA from 1 species